AUAUAUGUCCGAACAUGAACCCCCCACCCCAUUUUCAGUCAUCUUCCUCAUUUCACCAUUCCUCUCACAAACCCUAGUUGUGCCGCUCCAAAACCUCUAAGCCGCCGGUGACGCUGCCGCCUCCAAACAUCCCCGAAAUAACACCAUAGGCUCUCCCUCAUCUCCCCGUUUCAAAUAUACCAUUAGUUUCCUUCGAAUCAAUGCAUAUCCCCUCGAAUCUUGAUUUUAAAAUCAGGCUCAAAACCCUACUUUGUCUAAAUGGUCCCAAAUUGGUACCCGAUAAUCCCCUGACCUUCCUAAUCUUGAAUCUCUAGUCGAAAUCCCUCAAAUCUCACCGAAGCUCAGCAAAUUUUGGAUCUAGGGUUGUCAUUUCGGGCCUGUUUUAAGGAGUUUCAGAGUCAAAUUGAUUCCUAUUAAUGUAACUUGCUUAUUUUUGCUAAAUAUACAAGUAACAUUAACCGAAAUUCAAUUUCGAUGGUUUAAUUCAUGCUAAAUCUAAGUGAGUUUCUUUUUUAGUUUUUUAUCAGUUUCUUUUAUUCGUCCUCUUUGGUUUUGAUCUUUGUUAGUGUAAUCCAUGUUUUCUUUGUUAGUUAAUAGUAUGUUAAUUUUCAUGCUAUGUUUCUUUUGGGUCGAUUCUGGGUUUCUUUUCUCUUGUGUUACUUCUGUUAAUCACUUUAAACAAGUAAUCAUUAUUUUAGCUAUAUGUUUAUUUGUUUUGUUCAUGUGAACUUUCAUUUGGAAUUUUCCCCUGUUCGAAUAAUUAGUUCUAAUACGUUAAUAGAAGUUAUUAGUCCAGUAGUAUAAAGUUUAGAUUUUUUUUAAAAUUUUUUUAAAGAAGAUCUUAGUUUGUUCAUAUCUAUUUUGAUCUGUUUUAUUCCUCUGGAUUUGACCUGGAUUGAUUUUAGCUUAUGCUUUUGUCUUAGUAUUAGCAGUUUGUUAAUUGUUAAUUCAAUAUUAGUGUUAACUAGUAAUGAUUAGUGCAAUGUUUAAAGUUUAUUUAACAAUAGUCAAGUUUUAACUAAGGUAAGGGAUUUGUUUGGGUCAGUAGUUUCAGGAAGUUUUCAGGGGUAGUCUGGGCAUAGAAAAUGAUUGUUUUAUGAAGAAUAAUAAAUUCAAAACCAAGACAAGGGUAGUAUAGGUAUUGUAUAGGUAAAGUAACACCCUAACGCCUUCAAGAAUAGGACUUUAGUGUAGAUUUAGGUAAAUCUACGGCAGUAACUUGAGAAACAAGUCAGAAAUUGAAGGACUAAUAAGUGAAAUUUGAAAUUAAAAGAAGAAAAGAAUUUGUGAAAGCUUCCAGAACUUUCUGCUCUGUUAUGGAAUAUAAAAGGCAACCCUAGUACCUUCAUUUACAGGUGGACACACCCAUGAAAAAAUUCUAGAAGUUUGAGCCAUCAAAACUCCCUUUAAAUAGCUCUUUCUUUUCUAAUUUUCAGAUCUAAGUUUUAAAAUUUAAAUAUUCAAAAUCCAAAAACAUCAAAAACAGAAAAUCAAAAAUAAAAGUUACUGUUUCAUUGUUUAUUUAGAUUAUUUUCCAGUUUUCUCUUUGCAUUUCUCUAAAAUUUGUUUUAAGCUCGAGUUCAGCAACAUUCUGGAGUAUCUAACAAUUUGGUCGAAUAUAUUUGGAUCUGUUUGGCUUGGUUUUUAUGUUAAGUAACAGCCUGAAGAAGUCUCAUAAGCAAUUUAAGUUCACUAUUGAAUUCGGUUGGGGGUAUUUCAAGUGGUUGUUGGUUUGAUUUGUUAGUUUCUGUUUGACUGUCAAACAUUUCUUGGUGCUAAAUUACUUCUCGAGCUGUUGUUGUUGUGUUGUUCCUGUGAAAUUGAUCUUUUACUUCUCCCCUGUUUCGAUUCCAGGUACACCUUCAUUACCUCUACUGAUAUGGAGGCUUGAUUCUCAUGUAUAGACUGUUUGGGGAAAUCAAUGAAGAAGAACAUUACUUGUUAUCUGAGUUUUAUUGAAUAUUUGACUAGCCUUUCAUAUUUAGCUUAGCUAGUCAUGCUUAGUUGCAAUUAUAGCAAUUGUUUGGACUGUUUAACUUGUACUGAUUAGACUGUAUUGAACUAAUACUUUUCUGAAUUCGUGUGAGCAUUGUUAGUAUUAGUGUAGUCUAAUUGCAUUACAUAACGUCAGUGUAUUUUUUAAGGAUUUAGCAUCUAAAUCAGUAAGAUUGGACUGGAAAGUGUAAUCCCUUGUUUCAUAUGAAAAUCAGAACCCACACUACAUGAUUUAAUUUGUUUUGAAUAUCAAAGGCUCCUAGAAUUCAAACGGUAACAAGUUAAUGAUUCAAUAUACAAAUCAUGUUGGUUAUUUGAGGUUACUCGUUCAUUGAUAUACUAGUAACUAACUGGGGUAUGAAUUUGACCCAAGUCGUGACUGAAAGCUAGGAGUAGUCCUGGGGUUUUGAAAUGAAAUCCUUGGUGAGUCUUGUCUCGUAUAUGCCUCCUGAAUGUGAGCUUCCUCUUGGGCCUGGACUGUCCCUUUUAGUGGGCUUAUCCCCUUCCGAUUAUCCUUUAAGUGGAAAAACUUAUUUAUGCCCUUGCAGGUGUAAUGAAAAAGGAGGUGUGACAAAACUGGCUCCUGGGUAAACUCCUAUUUGGGGAGAUCUCCCCGAUAAAAUGGCGUCAUCUAUAAAUGUGGGUACAUGUACCAUCUGUAACACCUUGCUUCUAUUGGUGUCCAUGACCACACCCUCUCGAUCUCCAUUCUCUUCCUUUUUCUCAACAACAGCUUGUCCCCAUUGGAGGAUUCAUCUAAGAAGUGUGGGAUCGGUAUUGAAGAAUCACGACCAUAACCUGAGAAGGACCUUCUAAUUGAAUAGGUUGAGGAUGAACCUCUCGAAUAUACUCACUCAAAGUAAACUAUGUUUCCGUAGCAGCGACAGCCUGUCCGAAUACAGGGACUGGCGCCUUCUAUCUGAAAGCUCAUUGACCUGCC
rnacentral:lncRNA from 1 species